UCCAACCAAAGACAACUCUCAACAACGGAUAUCUUGGCUCCCGUAUCGAUGAAGAACGCAGCGAAAUGCGAUACGUAGUGUGAAUUGCAGAUAAUGUGAAUCAUCGAAUCUUUGAACGCAAAUUGCACUCGAGGCUCCGGCCGAGAGUAUGUCUGCCUCAGCGUCG
rnacentral:rRNA from 3 species